rnacentral:rRNA from 1 species
GCGACGAUCUGUAGCGGGUCUGAGAGGAUGAUCCGCCACACUGGGACUGAGACACGGCCCAGACUCCUACGGGAGGCAGCAGUGGGGAAUAUUGGACAAUGGGGGGAACCCUGAUCCAGCCAUGCCGCGUGUGUGAAGAAGGCCUUAUGGUUGUAAAGCACUUUAAGCGAGGAGGAGGCUACUGAGACUAAUACUCUUGGAUAGUGGACGUUACUCGCAGAAUAAGCACCGGCUAACUCUGUGCCAGCAGCCGCGGUAAUACAGAGGGUGCGAGCGUUAAUCGGAUUUACUGGGCGUAAAGCGUGCGUAGGCGGCUUUUUAAGUCGGAUGUGAAAUCCCCGAGCUUAACUUGGGAAUUGCAUUCGAUACUGGGAAGCUAGAGUAUGGGAGAGGAUGGUAGAAUUCCAGGUGUAGCGGUGAAAUGCGUAGAGAUCUGGAGGAAUACCGAUGGCGAAGGCAGCCAUCUGGCCUAAUACUGACGCUGAGGUACGAAAGCAUGGGGAGCAAACAGGAUUAGAUACCCUGGUAGUCCAUGCCGUAAACGAUGUCUACUAGCCGUUGGGGCCUUUGAGGCUUUAGUGGCGCAGCUAACGCGAUAAGUAGACCGCCUGGGGAGUACGGUCGCAAGACUAAAACUCAAAUGAAUUGACGGGGGCCCGCACAAGCGGUGGAGCAUGUGGUUUAAUUCGAUGCAACGCGAAGAACCUUACCUGGCCUUGACAUACUAGAAACUUUCCAGAGAUGGAUUGGUGCCUUCGGGAAUCUAGAUACAGGUGCU